rnacentral:rRNA from 1 species
AGAGUUUGAUCAUGGCUCAGAACGAACGCUGGCGGCGUGGAUAAGACAUGCAAGUCGAGCGAGACUUUUUCUAGUAGCAAUACCGGGAAAAGUUUAGCGGCGAACGGGUGCUUAACACGUGGGCAACCUGCCGUGAAGUGGGGGAUAGCUCGCCGAAAGGCGAAUUAAUACCGCAUGUGAUUAGAGAGGACAUCCUUCGAAAUUAAAGUCGGGGCAACCUGACGCUUCUUGUGGGGCCCGCGGCCUAUCAGCUAGUUGGUGAGGUAACGGCUCACCAAGGCUUUGACGGGUAGCUGGUCUGAGAGGACGACCAGCCACACUGGGACUGAGACACGGCCCAGACACCUACGGGUGGCAGCAGUCGAGAAUUUUUGACAAUGGGGGAAACCCUGAUCGAGCGACGCCGCGUGGAGGAUGAAGGUCUUCGGAUUGUAAACUCCUGUCAUUGGGGAACAAGGUGCAUACGUUAACUGCGUGUGUAUUGAUAGUACCCGAAGAGGAAGGGACGGCUAACUCUGUGCCAGCAGCCGCGGUAAUACAGAGGUCCCAAGCGUUGUUCGGAUUCAUUGGGCGUAAAGGGUGCGUAGGCGGCGCGGUAAGUCGGGUGUGAAAUCUCGGAGCUUAACUCCGAAACUGCAUUCGAUACUGCCGUGCUUGAGGACUGGAGAGGAGACUGGAAUUUACGGUGUAGCGGUGAAAUGCGUAGAUAUCGUAAGGAAGACCAGUGGCGAAGGCGGGUCUCUGGACAGUUCCUGACGCUGAGGCACGAAGGCCAGGGGACAAACGGGAUUAGAUACCCUAGUAGUCC